UGUGUGUUAGUGGAAGCGUCUGGAAAGGCGCGCGAUACAGGGUGACAGCCCCGUACACAAAAAUGCACAUGCUGUGAGCUCGAUGAGUAGGGCGGGACACGUGGUAUCCUGUCUGAAUAUGGGGGGACCAUCCUCCAAGGCUAAAUACUCCUGACUGACCGAUAGUGAACCAGUACCGUGAGGGAAAGGCGAAAAGAACCCCGGCGAGGGGAGUGAAAAAGAACCUGAAACCGUGUACGUACAAGCAGUGGGAGCCUCUUUUAUGGGGUGACUGCGUACCUUUUGUAUAAUGGGUCAGCGACUUAUAUUCUGUAGCAAGGUUAACCGAAUAGGGGAGCCGAAGGGAAACCGAGUCUUAACUGGGCGUUAAGUUGCAGGGUAUAGACCCGAAACCCGGUGAUCUAGCCAUGGGCAGGUUGAAGGUUGGGUAACACUAACUGGAGGACCGAACCGACUAAUGUUGAAAAAUUAGCGGAUGACUUGUGGCUGGGGGUGAAAGGCCAAUCAAACCGGGAGAUAGCUGGUUCUCCCCGAAAGCUAUUUAGGUAGCGCCUCGUGAAUUCAUCUCCGGGGGUAGAGCACUGUUUCGGCAAGGGGGUCAUCCCGACUUACCA
rnacentral:rRNA from 1 species